rnacentral:rRNA from 1 species
UAACACCAGCGCCACGAGUGGUAACUGUAUUUAUUGGGUCUAAAGCGUCCGUAGCCGGUUCAGUAAGUCUCUUGUGAAAUCAUUAAACUUAACUUAAUGGUGUGCUUGAGAUACUGUUGGACUAGGAACUGGGAGGAGUCAGAAGUAUUUCCUGGGGAGCGGUAAAAUGCUAUAAUCCUGGAAGGACUACCUGUGGCGAAGGCGUCUGACUAGAACAGAUUCGACGGUGAGGGACGAAAGCUAAGGGAGCAAUCCGGAUUAGAUACCCGAGUAGUCUUAGCUGUAAACUCUGCGAGCUAGGUGUUGCACAUUCUUCGUGAAUGUGUGGUGUCGUAGUGAAGACGUUAAGCUCGCCACCUGGGAAGUAUGGUCGCAAGACUG